rnacentral:lncRNA from 1 species
ACGUAGCAGAUUUUUUGAUAGUCGUAAUUAAAUAUUUUGGAUAGAUUUAAUUUUUGAAUGAAACACUUCCUUCUCGUUCAUUGCAUUAUCUGUUGCACUUCAAAUGCACAUAUUUAUGUUUAUCUGUUGUAGGGUUGCCAUACAACAAGUAUUAUUCGAAAUUGUAGGUAUUUUGGCUGUCAUUCCAGGAAAACUUUGUAUAGUUUUGAUAUACUUUAAGUAUUGAUUUUUGGAAAAUAUAAUAUUUUAGAGACAUGAUAACAAAUGUUAUCAUAGGUUUUUUAAGGCUGUUCUGGAAUGAUAUUUGUUAGGUUUUGUUUACUUCAAGGUCUGAUACAGAAACUGGAGUAAUUUUCAUUUAAUGAAUUAGAGUAUUUUAUUGUUUAUUCGUUUGCCACCCGGCUUUUGUUUUGGGUCCUUUAAAUUCGAGAUCAUUCAGUGCGCCGUUCUUUCUGUGACGAGAUCCUCUUGUAUAGUGAUCGGACGGCCGUAUAAGGGCCUGGAGCCCGGCAUGCCACGUGCUGCCGUGGCGUUCCAUAUUUUGUGUGGUGCGUUCUGUCAGUCUGACUGGCAGAAACAUGCUAAGGGUGGGAGUGCUCCUUGGAGAUCCUCGGUCUGCAGUCUGCAGGUCUCCGGAGUCGGGAAGAAGUAAAGAAUUAGAGAAUUGCAGAAGUAGAUAAUUAAACAAGAACCUUUACAAUUUCGAUGUGCAAGGAAACUUCUUUGGCUUACUGGCGCAAGGUGUCUUUGGACCUUGUUUUCGUAUGGAAGGGUCAGCCCUGUCCACGUGGCGAGGGGGCGUCAGCACCGGAGUCCGGGGAGCUGCCGGCUCAUCCCUGACAAGGUGUGUCUCCUGCCCGUUUCCUGCCGGUAGUGCUGUGUAAUUCAGGUUUUUAAUUUCUGUGUAAAGUAAUUUCUGAUUUCAUUUAUUUUGAGAAUUCUGGUGCAUAACUUUAGGUAAAUUCCGAUUUAGUUUUGUAGAAUAAAUGAUUGUAAGAAACCUUUUCCUGGACCCUCUUAAAGCGGCCCAGCUUUACCACUGAGCGUAGUUCAUAUUUUUAUAUGGUGUCUAAUUUAGUAUUUUGGGAAACAUUAAAUGAAACCUUUCUGUAAGGCAAGAUUUAGUUAUAAUAAAUAUAUAAAAUGUUA